AUACGUAGGGAGCGAGCGUUGUCCGGAAUUACUGGGUGUAAAGGGAGCGUAGGCGGGAGUGCAAGUCAGAUGGGAAAUACAGGGGCUCAACCCAUGGGCUGCAUUUGAAACUGCAUUUCUUGAGUGGAGUAGAGGUAAGCGGAAUUCCUGGUGUAGCGGUGAAAUGCGUAGAUAUUAGGAGGAACACCGGUUGCGAAGGCGGCUUACUGGGCUUUUACUGACGCUGAGGCUCGAAAGCGUGGGGAGCAAACAGGAUUAGAUGCCCUGGUAGUCCACGCUGUAAACGAUGAUUACUAGGUGUGGGGGGACUGACCCCUUCCGUGCCGCAGUUAACACAAUAAGUAAUCCGCCUGGGGAGUACGGCCGCAAGGUUGAAACUCAAAUGAAUUGACGGGG
rnacentral:rRNA from 1 species